rnacentral:lncRNA from 1 species
ACCGCUAUAAAGACAUUACAGGACGACGCGUGCCUUAACUAAAUUAUUUAUAUGUACUUUUUAAAUUAAUCAUUUAGUUAAUUUCUUUUCUCUAUAUAUGUAGUGUACAACUGUACCAGUAUACCACACAGUACUAGGUAGAUUUUAAGAUUUAGCAUUUGAACCGAACCAAUUAAAACCCAAACUUAGAUUCAAAUCAAGAUAUCAAUAACCAAUGACGUACUUUUAACCUUUCAAACCGGCUGUGACUGGUGUGAAUUUAAGUAGGCGAUCCAGAUAUCCGAAAAAUUUAGGGUAUCCGGACCCGGAUCC